rnacentral:rRNA from 1 species
CCUACGGGAGGCAGCAGUGGGGGAUAUUGCACAAUGGGGGGAACCCUGAUGCAGCGACGCCGCGUGGGUGAAGAAGCGCCUCGGCGCGUAAAGCCCUGUCAGCAGGGAAGAAAAUGACGGUACCUGAAGAAGAAGCCCCGGCUAAAUACGUGCCAGCAGCCGCGGUUAUACGUAGGGGGCAAGCGUUAUCCGGAUUUACUGGGUGUAAGGGGGGCGCAGACGGCGAUGCAAGCCAGGAGUGAAAGCCCGGGGCCCAACCCCGGGACUGCUCUUGGAACUGCGUGGCUGGAGUGCAGGAGGGGCAGGCGGAAUUCCUGGUGUAGCGGUGAAAUGCGUAGAUAUCAGGAGGAACACCGGUGGCGAAGGCGGCCUGCUGGACUGCAACUGACGUUGAGGCCCGAAAGCGUGGGGAGCAAACAGGAUUAGAUACCCCAGUAGUC